UGACCUCGGAUCAGGUAGGGAUACCCGCUGAACUUAAGCAUAUCAAUAAGCGGAGGAAAAGAAACCAACCGGGAUUGCCCUAGUAACGGCGAGUGAAGCGGCAAGAGCUCAAAUUUGAAAGCUGGCCCCCUCGGGGUCCGCAUUGUAAUUUGCAGAGGAUGCUUCGGGAACGGCCCCCAUCUAAGUGCCCUGGAACGGGCCGUCAUAGAGGGUGAGAAUCCCGUCUGGGAUGGGGUGGCCGCGCCCGUGUGAAGCUCCUUCGACGAGUCGAGUUGUUUGGGAAUGCAGCUCUAAUUGGGUGGUAAAUUUCAUCUAAAGCUAAAUAUUGGCCGGAGACCGAUAGCGCACAAGUAGAGUGAUCGAAAGAUGAAAAGCACUUUGAAAAGAGAGUUAAACAGCACGUGAAAUUGUUGAAAGGGAAGCGCUUGCGACCAGACUCGCCCGCGGGGUUCAGCCGGCACUCGUGCCGGUGUACUUCCCCGCGGGCGGGCCAGCGUCGGUUUGGGCGGCCGGUCAAAGGCCUCUGGAAGGUAACGCCUCUCGGGGCGUCUUAUAGCCAGGGGUGCCAUGCGGCCUGCCCGGACCGAGGAACGCGCUUCGGCUCGGACGCUGGCAUAAUGGUCGUAAGCGACCCGUCUUGAAACACGGACCAAGGAGUCUAACAUCUACGCGAGUGUUCGGGUGUCAAACCCGUGCGCGCAGUGAAAGCGAACGGAGGUGGGAACCCCCCGGGGUGCACCAUCGACCGAUCCUGAUGUCUUCGGAUGGAUUUGAGUAAGAGCGUAGCUGUUGGGACCCGAAAGAUGGUGAACUAUGCCUGAAUAGGGCGAAGCCAGAGGAAACUCUGGUGGAGGCUCGCAGCGGUUCUGACGUGCAAAUCGAUCGUCAAAUUUGGGUAUAGGGGCGA
rnacentral:rRNA from 1 species